rnacentral:rRNA from 1 species
GCAGCUUGCUGCUUUGCUGACGAGUGGCGGACGGGUGAGUAAUGUCUGGGAAACUGCCCGAUGGAGGGGGAUAACUACUGGAAACGGUAGCUAAUACCGCAUAACGUCGCAAGACCAAAGAGGGGGACCUUAGGGCCUCUUGCCAUCGGAUGUGCCCAGAUGGGAUUAGCUAGUAGGUGGGGUAACGGCUCACCUAGGCGACGAUCCCUAGCUGGUCUGAGAGGAUGACCAGCCACACUGGAACUGAGACACGGUCCAGACUCCUACGGGAGGCAGCAGUGGGGAAUAUUGCACAAUGGGCGCAAGCCUGAUGCAGCCAUGCCGCGUGUAUGAAGAAGGCCUUCGGGUUGUAAAGUACUUUCAGCGGGGAGGAAGGGAGUAAAGUUAAUACCUUUGCUCAUUGACGUUACCCGCAGAAGAAGCACCGGCUAACUCCGUGCCAGCAGCCGCGGUAAUACGGAGGGUGCAAGCGUUAAUCGGAAUUACUGGGCGUAAAGCGCACGCAGGCGGUUUGUUAAGUCAGAUGUGAAAUCCCCAGGCUCAACCUGGGAACUGCAUCUGAUACUGGCAAGCUUGAGUCUCGUAGA